UUUCCGUAGGUGAACCUGCGGAAGGAUCAUUCAUAAUAAAGUGUUUUAUGGCACUUUUUAAAAAUCCAUAUCCACCUUGUGUGCAAUGUUAGAUCUCGUCAAUCUUGGCGAGAUUUUUAUACAUCAACUCAUUCUUUAACUAAUUUGUCUGAAAAAUAUUAUGAAUACUUAAUUCAAAAUACAACUUUCAACAACGGAUCUCUUGGCUUUC
rnacentral:misc_RNA from 1 species